AUUGAACGCUGGCGGCAUGCUUUACACAUGCAAGUCGAACGGUAACAGGGUGCUUGCACCGCUGACGAGUGGCGAACGGGUGAGUAAUGCGUCGGAACGUGCCGAGUAGUGGGGGAUAACGCAGCGAAAGUUGUGCUAAUACCGCAUACGUACUGAGGUAGAAAGUGGGGGACCUUCGGGCCUCACGCUAUUCGAGCGGCCGACGUCUGAUUAGCUAGUAGGUGAGGUAAAGGCUCACCUAGGCGACGAUCAGUAGCGGGUCUGAGAGGAUGAUCCGCCACACUGGGACUGAGACACGGCCCAGACUCCUACGGGAGGCAGCAGUGGGGAAUUUUGGACAAUGGGCGAAAGCCUGAUCCAGCCAUGCCGCGUGUCUGAAGAAGGCCUUCGGGUUGUAAAGGACUUUUGUCGGGGAGGAAAUCCCCAGCGUUAAUACCGCUGGGGGAUGACAGUACCUGAAGAAUAAGCACCGGCUAACUACGCGCCAGCAGCCGCAGUAAGAC
rnacentral:rRNA from 1 species